CCCCCGCCAUCAUUGGUGCUAUUGUUGGUGUCUCCAAUUUCGACCCUGUCAAGCGUAGCUAACAAGACACUGCUACGUUCGUUUGCUUGUAAUAGUAAAGAAAAUGCUUUCAAGGGGAUUCUUUCUCUACUACUGCCUCUCUACCUCUUCGUUCAGUUUCAUUUCCUUUCCCAUUUAAAACCAAAAAACAAUAUUUAUAUGUAACCAGUUUGGUUCCUUCUCAGUAAAGGAGUCUUUCGUUCAUCAAUUUCUGCCUAUUAACUACAUACCGAGAUUCCUGUUUUAAUCUAAAUACAGCACGAGACUAACUGCGUAAAAUAUGAAACUCAAUGGUUAUGAAGGAGAUCUUCAGUACCUAACUAUGAAACUCAAUGGUUUUGAAGGAGAUCUUCAGUACCUAAAUAUGAAACUCAAAUGGUUUUGAAGGAGAUCUUCAGUACCUAUGGGGUCCAGAAGCAAUUUCGCCAAGCAUUUGUCUGCUCUCAGAAGAGUAAUCAAUCUUGUCUGCCUUCACCGCCGUGAUCUUAACCCUCAGUUCAUCGCCAUACAUUUCCUCCUUGAUCUUAAGCUUCAAGAGAUAACGGUAAAACACCCUGCUGCGGAAUAUGUUUGAAAGUCUCGACUCCUCCUGCUCGUUGUUUUUCAGUUCGUACAACUCCUUGGCUGGAAUUCCCAUGAUCUCUUCUCCCGACUCCUGGAAAGCUGUCACCCACGCUAAUCCUGUGUGGUCCUGAAUCUGAAACUGGAGCAGAUAUCUGUAAUCACAUUCCUCGAAUUCUUGAUUGCAUCUAUCGCAUACCCAUCCCGAGCUUCCUGAUCCGUUCACCUUCUUGUUACACUGUCUAUCUCCUAUCAUCAGUGGACAAGCUGUGUAGCAGAACGAUUCUAUUUUGAAAAAGGUGAUUGCAGCUUUCACAGUUACCCAGUCUGGUUUCUCCGAUCUUCCAAGACCUUCGUCUUUGAUUUGGGACACAGUUUUCCUUAUUUCAGUCCUGGAUCCUGCUGGCACCACGUCCUUGGAAAUGCAUACAGUAGCAGAGUUCUGCCCUCCUCGGUUAAACCAGUCUCUCAGCUCUUGAGCUUCAGGAAUUUCUGGAUUUAUGAAUAGCUGAGAAGAUGAAAUCGUCCCUACAGACUUCCCAGUGAAAUCACUAACUUUUCCUGCUUUCACAGCUAGUACCGGGAAUAUCCCCGAAUCCACCAUCUCUUGCAGACCUUGACCUUCUUUGUUACAGAAAUCUCCCCAAAGAGUUAGCUCAACACUUCUGCCUGAACUAUCCUUCACAUUCACGGUUCUUCGCUGAGUCUCCAUGCCAUUCUUUCUCAUGAUAGAGACUGAAGGGUUCACGGAUGUCACAAUGCCAACUAUAUCAAGUAUGGAGUUGUUUUCAGUACUCUCAAUUUCACUUAUUGAUUUAAAGGCAAACUGUUGUUGUGGUAUAGAACCAUCUUCCUCUGGAAGAAGAUCAACAGUUGAAGCUGCCUCGAGAAAUAUCUCCCACUCAUUCUUCAGAUGAUUGAAAUUUUUCUGUGCUGGUUUCAAAUUACCCUUUGCAAUCAAAUAGACUCGUCCUACCUCAAUGACAUCAUAGAAGCGGUCAACAACAGAAUUGAAGCAUGUUACCCUUAUUUCACCUCCAUCUGAAUCAAGAAGGUCAAAGGAGAAGACCUUCCCAUCUCCACGGGCAUUGUUGUAACGACGGAGAUCUCCUUUUGCAGUUACCCGGGCCUUGAUAGCCCACCUUCCCUGAUAAGGAUUCAAAGCAGAAAUUGGAAUUACUCUAGCUGGUGCUUCGUUCUUCAUGAUUGCUCCUCUAUUUAUAUAACUCGGAGGUGGCUGGUAUGCAGGUUGAACGGCUGGUCCAUAAAUCUGUGCAUUAUUCCAAGUAGCUGGUCUCAUCAUACCAUUGCUGCCAUUUCGGGCAUUAUUCAACAGAGGCCGAGAACCUUUCACAUUGGUUCCUUGAUUUUGGGGGAAUGAGGUAGGCUGCAGGCCCUGCAUAUUGUUUCCAGCAUUUUGGGCAUUGAGAGCUGGCCGAAAACUUUGCAUAUUACCACCAUUGUUUAGGGAACUCGAAUUGUUGUAAAAUCCACUGCCUGAUUGCACUGAACUGACGUUACUAAGGGUCUUCUGAGCAGUCAUAUCAGCCACGCAUUUAGGAUUUCCGAUUAUUCCACAAUCCAGUACUAUAGUUUCCAUUUUCAGUACGACAAUAAUCCUGCAGAACAACAGCAAUUGGUCCGUUGUCAACCAAAGCAAUUACAUCAUUAUCUUGAGCUCUUUUUUCAACUAGAAACAAACACCACUUGCUAUAUCAUUCUAUUUUCCAAACAGCUUUUUUCACAAUUAACAACAAUAACAAUAUAACUGAGCAAUGUAAAACCAGAGUAAGUCAAGAAGAUUGAAACAACUGAAGUAGCAUGAAAUGAGUUGGUUCAAGAAUGUCUAUAAGUCAGGCAUUCCAUUUCAAAUUAGAUCUAAAAACAAAUUAGAUCAAAUUAGAAUAUCCUGUCCUAUGGCACAUAGCAGAGUCGAAUUCACAACCAACAGAUGAGAGAUAGAAUCUAUUCCAAAACAGGACGAGAAGCUUUCUUCUCCAGGAUAGGAGCAGAACACCAGCACCAGAAGGCAAUUUCAUCGGUCCUUAACAGUCAUCUCGAGAAACCAGCAAUGGCCCCAGGAAUCUCUAAUGCCUGGAUAUUGACCUGAAACUUCUAGUCGAGUUUAAAAUUUAAAAUGCUGCAUAGAAAUUCUAUUUUGAAAGGACUGAACACAUAGUUCUGCAUUGUAGCUCUCCAAGCGCUACAACUAAACAAAACAACUAAAGUUAUGGAAGACGUGAGGAAGUUACCUGCGGUUCUGGACAUCGCUGCAAAUGUAAUCAAUAAGCUGGACGACGGAUCCUAUCUUGACGCAGCCGGUCUUGACUCUAUCAUUGAGCUGAGUGGCGAGCAUCGCUUGCUGAGUGGAGACGGAAUCGGAGAUCAUCAUCCUGUACCUCUCCUGAGCGCUCCCGCACAAUUUGAUGUCCGUAACCUGUACCAGCGGCUUCGAGUUCAGAUCGCCGCCAUUGAUGGCGGCUAUGGCGUUGGGGGUGAGAUUGACCGGCAUCGUGUCGGUUGGCUAGCGGUGGCCCGCAAGGAAUCGAGAAGAGAAACAGCGAAAGAGGAGAAACCCUAAGAACUGGAUAUGUAGAAGAGAGCUAUGCCACCUUUUUCGUGAAUUCAAGGUUGAAAAUGGCGGGGCUCAUACCCCGUGAAUAGAUAACCGACUCGAGAUCUUUGAAAUUGGAGCUUAAUAUCCAUAGUGGUCAUCAAACAAUGUUUUAUGACAUUGUGGUCAUCAAACUUAUAAAAUGUACCCUAGAAACGAUUAACCAAUUGCAAAAGUGACCAUUUGGUCAUACCAUAUUUUUUGGGUGUAAAUUUGGUCAUUCCAUAUCCUUCUGUUAAAUGUACAAUCAUACAUCCGAUCCGAAUUAGCAAAGAUAUUAAAGUAUCCAUUUAUAUUAUUUUUAAACAAAUCAAGUCUCAUUUAUCUAAUAAUAAAGUUACAUUUUGAAUGGCAUGUAUCUUCCAAUUGUCAUUCUUUAUAACCUUCUCAUCUACAAGUAGAGAAAUAGUAGUAAUAUAAUUACCUCUUUCAAGAACUUUUCAUUGUUUUCUUCGUCGAAGUAGCAAUUUUAACUGCUGCCAUUUCAUCUCACGAGUUAGCCGUUAAGAAAAUAUAUUGUUUUUGGUUUGGUUCUUAGUUAAUCAAAACCGUACUAAGAAACAAAAAUACAUGUUCGUGUGCAUUAAUACAAAUUCAUUUAGUAUUUAACCAUAAGAACACAAUGAAUUAUAAGACAAUAAUUUGAACAAAUUGAUAACUCUACUCAUUAUUUUGGUCUCAAAUUUUCAUUCUAUAUUAAGACAGAUACUUUUUUAAUGAAACUUUUAUAAUUUCUUAAUUUUUUCUUUUGAUGUUAAUCAAAUAUGAAAUUAUAUCACACUCUUCAUUUUUAAAUAUUAAAAAAAGUUUCAUAAAAAAA
rnacentral:lncRNA from 1 species